AUCCAGCUGACUACUCACAAAUAAGACGAAACGCACGUCCUGGAU
rnacentral:hammerhead_ribozyme from 1 species